GUGGUUUCCUCUUCUCUUAGUUGAGUUUUAGACUCUAGUGCAUGUUUACGUACUUCAGUAUAAGGUCUAAGGAAAAUAAGAGGACAGAGAAAAGAUGAACUCUUUUGCGUCGGUAAUGGCACAAAAGUUGCACUGUGGUCGUGGGCACCUAACCUCUGUGAUUAUCAUUUUAGAUUUAAUUCUCUAUCAUUUGCAUGGUGAUGUGUUUGUGAACUUAUUUGAGCAAACGGUAAAUGCC
rnacentral:lncRNA from 1 species